UAGGGAGACCUAAUCCAUUUAGAAAUCGAAAACAAUGAAAAUUGUCAAUAGAAACUAAAUUGGUCUAACCUAGGUCGUUCGAGAUUGGUAGACAUCUUUCAAAGUAUUAUUCGGCUUCGUUCAAAACCAUAUAUAAUAAAUGGAAAAAGACAGCACCUAAUUGUCAAAGUUAGACUCCUGGAUGAAGUUCCAGCCAGAACCUUGAAAACUGCAUAAGAGAACAAGAAAAAGCAGGCAGACACAGACAUUUAGAUGGAUGUGGAAGCAAAAGAAAUUGU
rnacentral:misc_RNA from 1 species